UUGAACGCUGGCGGCAUGCCUUACACAUGCAAGUCGAACGGUAGAGGGGCAACCCUUGAGAGUGGCGAACGGGUGAGUAAUAUAUCGGAACGUGCCCAGUCGUGGGGAUAACGCAGCGAAAGCUGCGCUAAUACCGCAUACGAUCUAUGGAUGAAAGCGGGGAGUCGCAAGACCUCGCGCGAUUGGAGCGGCCGAUAUCAGAUUAGGUAGUUGGUGGGGUAAAGG
rnacentral:rRNA from 1 species